AAUUAAAUAUCUACAACAUACAAAGUAUUAUUGUUUUUUGGGCCAAUUUUGAGGAGCGGAAGAGGUUGUAGAGAAUUGAAACCUUAAAUCUGGUGCCAACUUUAAAUCCAGUGGCCAAAGCAUUAUUGCUUAAUGUGCUAAUUAAUGGCCUUUCUGCUCAGCUCUCAAAUAAGUGCAACUCUUAACUACUCAUUCUGGUUGUGCACCAUAAGCACAAGAUGCGGAGUUAUUCUCUCUUAAAGUUAGAGAAGAAAUAGGGCCAUAGGGCCAUCACCUGCCAGCCGAAUCGUCAUGAACAUGGAAGCAGCAGAAAAAUAGCUACCCAGAACCUUGCUAGCCGACUGUGUGUGGUGAUGGACUGGCCCUUUUGAAAGUGGGACUGUGAUCAUGUGUUUGUUUCAUUGCUAGAACCUAGAAGUUGCUUCCAGACAAAAGAAGGGUACGGAAAACUUUAUUUGAUUGUCUUUACUACUUUAACUUGAGUACUUAGGUUUAGCUAUAAUUUCUCACCAUAUAACUCCAUCGUAAAAUUGGAUCUUUUCAGUCUCACUUCACAAAUAUUUCCUUCCAUAUUGUUUGGUUAAUUGGUGUCAAAGAAUAAUAGAAGUGUAAUUUUGGGCGUUAA